CAGACUCUUAGAAUAGCGGGUCUGCAAACAUGAGACAGGCCCAUAAGCGAAUACCAUCGUCCGUCGGGCCACAGAAAAACCCGGUUUCUCCUUCUCGUUCUUUUCCCUCUCUGCUCCAGAACUUUUAACGACCAAAACGUCGACGUGCAACGGAUCCCUGCGAUCGUCGCGGAACCGAAUCAGACGAAUGAAAGCGACGACGACCCUUUAUCGCAUGGGUCACAACGAUUGGUGGUGCGGAAGCGAUUAAAUCUUUCGUUAAUUGAACGGAAACAUCCUGGUAUGCAAAUCGGUCAAAUAUUCGGUGCCAUAACUUAUUUAUAGCUUGUGGGGUUCUAUUCACUUGUGUUCUGGUCCCCUCCAAUGCUCAUGUAUCCCAGACUCCUGGUGCUCUGCGUGAAUCAGAGCUUCAAUGUGUCGCAAUGGCUGAUCGAUAUCUGGUUUGUGAGUUUCAAUCGUCGAGGCAUAAUCAUCCGAAGCGAUCAAGACCUGCCAAGGAAAUCGUUACCAAAUUUCAUUUAAAAUGGUUGUAAUAAAACUUUGAACGUACGAUAACUAAUUAGGAAGCCAAAUCACCAAUCAGGCACAUGAAGCCUUCAAAGAGGUUCCUAAAAUUAGGUUAUUUGGACGAAAACCAUCACAUGGAUGGUUUCGUUCAAAAAACAAAAUAUUACGUGAACAGGGAGGGAAGGAAAGAAUUUAAUUUUUUAUGGACC